UUGGAGCGGCCGAUGUCUGAUUAGCUAGUUGGUGGGGUAAAGGCCUACCAAGGCGUCGAUCAGUAGCUGGUCUGAGAGGACGACCAGCCACACUGGAACUGAGACACGGUCCAGACUCCUACGGGAGGCAGCAGUGGGGAAUUUUGGACAAUGGGGGCAACCCUGAUCCAGCGAUGCCGCGUGUGUGAAGAAGGCCUUCGGGUUGUAAAGCUCUUUUGUCAGGGACGAAACGGUGNNUNNUAAUANNNGUNUGGUAAUGACGGUACCUGCAGAAUAAGCACCGGCUAACUNNNUGCCAGCAGCCGCGGUAAUACGUAGGGUGCAAGCGUUAAUCGGAAUUACUGGGCGUAAAGCGUGCGCAGGCGGUUUGUA
rnacentral:rRNA from 1 species